UGCUCACCUCUGGAAGAGCGUAAAGAUGAAGCCCGCAUCGGCGCCGCCUCUGAUCAUCUUCUUGGUGUUGAACUGACACCUGAAGCCUAUCUGACAGAAGAUGGUCAAGGGGUCUAGUGGGUAUUCAGGACCUGCCAGAUCAGAAAUCCGUCUGCUUGGCCACAUCACGUGGUGAUGUUGUUUUGUACAACCUUAGCAUCAAUCAGGUAGUUGGAGUGUGUUGGAAGAGUGGACAGUGGUCUGACUGCAAUUAGUUUAGGUCCAAACCAAGAGAUGGUUGCGUUCUGCACAGGUAGGUAUUAGUCAUCAUGGUUCAUAAAGACACACUGUACUCUUACACAUUAAGACUAUUCCAUGGAAGCUAAAGGAUGCGACACUGACCAGUGGGAUAUGCAUGUUGGGCCUCCUGCAUUGAAUGUGGAUGUGGGUGCGCACCAACAACACUGACAAUUCUAGCCAAAUGUCGCCACAUACUGCCCUGUCCACUGUUGGGGUAAAAGUAUGUUACUAUACUUUAAAUAUACUUUAUAUGUUAUGUUAAUUAAACAAUUUGCACACUUUCCCAAAGUUUCUUUAAUAUGAAGUAGGAAAUAGGCCUUUCAUUGGUUAGUUGAUGCAGUGUAUGCUUUUUACUGAGCAGUAACUUUGUUUUUAAUCAGACAAUUAGGAGACACUUUAAGGAAAGAAAACACAAGGUUCUAAAUUCAUAACUUCACAGAGGGAUGGAAGCGAAAAAACAGCUCUGCUGUCUCGCUUUGUUGAUCAGAGAAGAAAGGAAGGAAGGCCUCCUGGGUUUGCGGCGCUCCAUGAGAGGAGGUGGAGUCCAUUUCCUUUGGUGCCGCCCCCAAAACAUCCAGCCAGUUGUGAUUGGCAGCGUCCGUUUUUUAACGGUGAACUGAUGGAGCUGGCAGGAAUGACUGGAAACGGCCACAGGAAGUUCUUGUGCAGGCGUUUGAGGGCAAUGACAAAUUCUUUGACACGGGUGAUGUGAGUGCACUCCCGGCACCCCCAGCCAAUCAGCUCGAAGCCCAGCUGAGCGAUGAAACAGCCCAGGUCCUUCAGAUGCACCUGCUCCAGCAGCCGCCGCGAAUGACGCCACAACAUCGAACCUAUGUUCUCAGCACUCUCGCCGUCCUUCCUAUAUGCACACACACACACAUUACAAUGGAAUACACUUUGUGUGUAUAUAUGUUUAUAGUUACAUAGACCAGCAGUUCAUAUCCAUACACUCUGAUAUCUUCUUUCUCAAUCAGAACAGAGGAAUCUGAAGACAGAAUACAAGACUGAUACCUGAUGGGCAGGGUUUAAACACAACACACAAUAAACGGCUGCCUGACACCAAUCUGUGCAUUUUUAAUAGCUUGAUGUAUAUUUAUGUAUUUGCCUAGCUUCAGCCUAGUUCAGCUCACAUUCCAAAACCUCUAAAAACCUCUUAAAAAUUGUUUCUAAUACUUGAAAAGAGUCUAAAUUAAAUAAACAAUUACUUAAAGGAUAUUUUAAAUACUUAUUUAUGUACAUAGGCAUAGGAACCGGGGGGAUGGGUGACGUGUCCCACCCAAAAUCAGAAACAGGUGGAUACCGCAGAACUGGGGCGUCGGCAGGACCAAAUCGUUUCUCUCAGCUCAGCUGUGUUUUUAAUGAGUAGACAGAAUGCUGUGUAAAUGGGAAAUCUCUUCGCGCCAACCACGGAGCCGGUUCAGGAAGAAAGUCCCUUAAUAGAACAGAGAACAGAGAUUUUUCUAUAAGAAAGGUAACAGAGCAAACCAUGUAAACUGUGUUGAGAUUAUUUCUUAUAGAUCAGGGGUCACCGCGGUCCGGAUCUGGACCCAGAUGUUGUCAUAUCCGGACCCAAACCGAUUCUGACAGUGUUCCUUUAAAGCGUCGAAACGUGUAUUGUCUUUAUGG